CCCGUACCGCAAACCGACACAGGUAGUCAAGAUGAGAAUUCUAAGGUGAGCGAGCGAACUCUCGUUAAGGAACUCGGCAAAAUGACCCCGUAACUUCGGGAGAAGGGGUGCUCUUUAGGGUUAACGCCCAGAAGAGCCGCAGUGAAUAGGCCCAAGCGACUGUUUAUCAAAAACACAGGUCUCUGCUAAACCGUAAGGUGAUGUAUAGGGGCUGACGCCUGCCCGGUGCUGGAAGGUUAAGAGGAGUGGUUAGCUUCUGCGAAGCUACGAAUCGAAGCCCCAGUAAACGGCGGCCGUAACUAUAACGGUCCUAAGGUAGCGAAAUUCCUUGUCGGGUAAGUUCCGACCCGCACGAAAGGCGUAACGAUUUGGGCACUGUCUCAACGAGAGACUCGGUGAAAUCAUAGUACCUGUGAAGAUGCAGGUUACCCGCGACAGGACGGAAAGACCCCGUGGAGCUUUACUGUAGCCUGAUAUUGAAAUUCGGCACAGCUUGUACAGGAUAGGUAGGAGCCUUUGAAACGUGAGCGCUAGCUUACGUGGAGGCGCUGGUGGGAUACUACCCUAGCUGUGUUGGCUUUCUAACCCGCACCACUUAUCGUGGUGGGAGACAGUGUCAGGCGGGCAGUUUGACUGGGGCGGUCGCCUCCUAAAAGGUAACGGAGGCGCUCAAAGGUUCCCUCAGAAUGGUUGGAAAUCAUUCAUAGAGUGUAAAGGCAUAAGGGAGCUUGACUGCGAGACCUACAAGUCGAGCAGGGUCGAAAGACGGACUUAGUGAUCCGGUGGUUCCGCAUGGAAGGGCCAUCGCUCAACGGAUAAAAGCUACCCCGGGGAUAACAGGCUUAUCUCCCCCAAGAGUUCACAUCGACGGGGAGGUUUGGCACCUCGAUGUCGGCUCAUCGCAUCCUGGGGCUGUAGUCGGUCCCAAGGGUUGGGCUGUUCGCCCAUUAAAGCGGUACGCGAGCUGGGUUCAGAACGUCGUGAGACAGUUCGGUCCCUAUCCGUCGUGGGCGUAGGAAAUUUGAGAGGAGCUGUCCUUAGUACGAGAGGACCGGGAUGGACAUACCUCUGGUGUACCAGUUGUCGUGCCAACGGCAUAGCUGGGUAGCUAUGUGUGGACGGGAUAAGUGCUGAAAGCAUCUAAGCAUGAAGCCCCCCUCAAGAUGAGAUUUCCCAACUUCGGUUAUAAGAUCCCUCAAAGAUGAUGAGGUUAAUAGGUUCGAGGUGGAAGCAUGGUGACAUGUGGAGCUGACGAAUACUAA
rnacentral:rRNA from 1 species